rnacentral:rRNA from 1 species
AGCGAACGUUAGCGGCGCGCCUAACACAUGCAAGUCGCACGAGAAACGGAGCAAUCCGCGGUACAGUGGCGCACGGGUGAGUAAUGCGUGGGAAUCUACCCUCGAGCGGGGGACAACCCGGGGGAAACCCGGGCUAAUACCGCAUACGUCCUACGGGAGAAAGCGGGCCUCUACACUAUGCUCGCACUCGAGGAUGAGCCCACGUCCGAUUAGCUAGUUGGUAGGGUAACGGCCUACCAAGGCCACGAUCGGUAGCUGGUCUGAGAGGAUGAUCAGCCACACUGGGACUGAGACACGGCCCAGACUCCUACGGGAGGCAGCAGUGGGGAAUAUUGGACAAUGGGCGCAAGCCUGAUCCAGCAAUGCCGCGUGUGUGAAGAAGGCCUGCGGGUUGUAAAGCACUUUCAGUGGGGAAGAACGGAUACGGGCCAAUACCCGCAUCACUGACGUUACCCACAGAAGAAGCACCGGCUAAACUCCGUGCCAGCAGCCGCGGU